UUUCCGUAGGUGAACCUGCGGAAGGAUCAAUAGCGAGCGAGUGGAGCGAGCGAGUGGGUGGGCAACCGAUGUGCGUAGCACGGAGGGAGCGAGCCUGCAGACACGCACCCACGCACCAACCAACACCCUGUCGAACGCGAUGCCGCCGGUCACGCAUGUGCACAUUCACAUUCACAUUCACACUGUGCUUGUGUGUGUGCAUGACGGGCGGCACCUGAACAACGAGCGCGCAUGUGCAAAAAUGAUACACGAUGACAUGAUACAAAGGAGAAACAACUUUUAACAAUGGAUCUCUUGGCUCUU
rnacentral:misc_RNA from 1 species